GGGGAGGCAGGACCAGGCCCUUCUUGUGGAGGGAACCACUGGGAGAAGUAAAAGGGCGAUGAUCAAGGCCAUGCCUGUGGCUUGUGUGGGGCUGGAGGAGAGUCAGGCCAGCAGUGAAGGGGCACCAUGUUGGCGUGAGGCGAUACGUUAUCAUGGGGAGCUCCAGAGCUGAUCCCACACUUAAAAAUAGAUUGACAUUUAUCCAGGAGCUGAAAUCUAACAUCUGGUGUAACUGUACAAACCUGACCUUAGGUCACGGCUCAGACACAACUCCUGGGGACAGAGCUGACUGGGCUUGCUGGACUCACCGGUGGUGAAGGGGGACGUUCUCCUUCUUAAUCCAUACUCAAGGCGGUCAUGCAGGCAUUGUGUUCUCUCUAGGUGCUCGUAUGGCUUCACGAUGUUACUACAUCACAAACAGAGGUAAAGCAGAAUGCAUUUGGCUCACCAUGCUCCCUGCUACCACAUCUCCCCAGCCAUGAUCCCUAACCCAGCACCAACUGCCAUGGGAAAUGUCUGGAGGCACAGCAGUCAUGCUUUUAAGAGAUACCAUCUACUCAUUUCAGUGCUGCUAAAGCUAAACACAUUUAUAGAUUUGUUCAUAAUUAUUUUUAGAGCGGAAUUCUGUUUGUUUAACAACAUCUGAAAAAUGAAGUACCUGGGGCAACGUUGCUGCAUGCAGCUGGUGCUACCCUCUCCAUCAGUCCGAGCAGGCUGUGCUCACACUUUGCAGUAAUGCUCCCUACAGCCAGGUAAGCAAACAGAGGAAUGAGGCAGCACCAGGAAUCUACAAGUGAAGCCCCUUUAAAGGGAUUUUGAGCCAGAGGCAUCCAAAGUCAGCCAUGGAGACACCAGAGCAGAGCAACUACAUUGCUCUCCCUGCAGCCACAGCCAGCACCCAUGGGUGAAGCAGCCUGGGGUGUUGCUGCUGAGCAUGGCUUUGCAUCAUGCUGCCAGCUGAGAUGCGUUGUCAGGACAGAUAGCGAGGCCCCUGUGUCCUUCCCACCCAUUCUGCACUUUCUGUGACCUCUUCCUUUCAUCAGUAAAAGUAAAUUGAAUGCAGUACCUUUAAAGACUCUGUCUGGAUCCAAAACAUUCAUAGCCACGCUGUAACCAUGAAUGAAAAGUUAAGAGAGUAUGGUUUGUACCUAAGGGCUCUUUUGCUUUUUAUAUGUUUACAUCUACCAGCCAAUGGUCAGCAAAUAAGCGCCACAGCUUGUAAUGAAAUGGUUGAACCAUCUGUUUUAAUCUGCGAUUUAAUUUCACUGUGAAGUAUUAAAGUUGUUCCGACAGUUGGGUUGGCACGGCUGCUUCAUAUGAAAAGUGUUGAGUAUCCCAGUUAUUCUGCACCAAGCACGUGCUGUGGAUAUUACGUGCUGCAUUGUUAUUUUCUUCCUUUACAAACAUUACAAAGGGCUCCUUAAUGCAGCACGACUGAGUUUUGGGUCCCUCUUUUUGGUUAGCAACAGAUAGCAG
ensembl:lncRNA